GAAGCAGAGUGACUGCAUCAGUGGUAUGUUUGCUUUUUAACCUCAGUUGUAUUUUUUAAAUAGCUGUUUGAAUGCUAACAUUUAGCAGUGUUCUGUCUUUUAAUAUGUGUGAUGUACAGUGUGAUGAAGCCAGUGUUUCUGAAAUUCCCUUUGAAGUCAUUAGUUUUGUAUGUAAUCAAUAUAUAUUAUAAUAGUAAGGUGUUGCUUCAUAUGUUUUCUAAUUUCUAAUCAUCCUCACAUCCUCUGAUCAGAUUUCUUUUAUAAUUUACUAUUGCACACCUGACGCAUUUACAUGUUUCACGUUUUAAUGAUCGACUUCUCUGAGGAGAUUUGUUUCCACCCCUUAACCAAUCACCUUCAAACAGCAGAACAGUUCGUCUGGGCUGGUGGUUGGAGUCUCAGUCAUCUUCCAAGUAAAUUACAGUGUGGUUCAACAGCACUGAAAUCAGUCAGCAACUGCGGCUGAACAUUAUUCUAUAGAAUAUUUUUUGAUUAAAUUAUUUGGCAAGCCAAA